UGGACAGGUGACGCGUGCCUACCCGGGGUGGGUGGCCGUUCGGGGACGGGGCGUGCCCGGCCGCUCAGGUGAGGCCCGCCUCGCGCGGACAGGUGGGGACGGGGGCCACGCGCGGCGUCCUGCUAGAGGGGAGGUGUUCACGCAGGGGUUAGCCUUGAGAAAAUAGAAAUGAAAAUUCAUGGAAAUAAACACUCCUAUCUGGUGGUUAGAGUUAUCACCCAUUUACCUUUCUUAACCGCCUAAUGUAGUGGAUGGUUUUUCCCCCACAAAUGCUUAGAAAUUGCCCCUCACCCCCAAGUCCCCAAAGGGAGUUUAAAACGGUAGAAACAAGUGUGUGAUCAGAGACACGUGGACCUGUGUGUGUAUUUAAAGCUACCAACACUCGUUUUAAAAAAACCACAUUGGCUUAAGCCAGACUCAAGUGAAUUUGGAGAACCUAGCUUGGUUCCUGAAGGGUGAGAUGUGAAGGAGCCACUGGUUUUGUGAUGAACCUUAAAAGGUAGCAGUGACAGUUCUCCUUGGAGAAUGCAGUGAUGUCAACACUCGAUAAGGGCGGUGAUCCCACCCCGGUGCACACACCACUACCGUAUUUUGUUUCAAGCUCGGACAUUUUCACGUGUUCCACGUUUUCACUGCUUCACUCCUUCCCCAGAUUUCCUGACAUCGCUGCCUCACGGUGAACGAUUAAGAAAUAGUAGCUCUAUAAUUUAGAUUUUCAAGAGCAAAAACACCAUUUUUUUAGAGUUUGUUUUUCUUCUUAUAUCUGUGAUUCAUAAUUUUUGCCACAAAAUAGCCAGCAAAGAACAAACUAAAUGUCCCAUUUUGGAAGCAGGAGGGACGGUUAUUUCUCCAGAAGACAAAUAAAUAAAUUUAAAAAUCAACUGUAGUUGGAAGGCUGCUAGCUUGUCUUAGAAUAAUUAUAUUUGACAAAGAACUCUUUUCACUUAGGAUGUGGCUCUCAUAUCAUUUUCGAUGUCAUUAUCUGUACAGAAGGCCAGGAAAGAACAGUCCUGCCAUUUUGCAGAUUGAAGAGAGAUUUAAGGCAACUGUGUCUUCCACCCGUGCGCUCAGAGGUUGGGAUGGUGAGCGGAGACUUAAAUGAUUUUUCAGACUCCGUUCCUCAUUUGCAAAGUGUGGAUGACCCUGCUCAGCUCCCCUCACAGUGCUGGUGUGGGCAGAUAAUCAUUCAUUUGGCCAUUCAUGCAUUCUUUCCACCAAUGUUUACUGAACACCUGUUAUGUGCCCCACGCUGUAGUGAAUGGAGAGAGGGCUGCACCUGGUGGACCUAAUGUUCUGGGCAGGGGAGUGGAGGUGGUGUAGACAGAAAAUCAUAAAACUCUCAGGUAAGACGAUGGGAAGAGCAUGGAGAAAGGAAGGAGGGCAGGCAGGUGGCGGGCAGGGGAUGGGGCACUUGGGGGCUGGGACUAGAAGGGGCUGUCUGAGGAGGGGCCACAGUGGAGAACAGUGCUGUGAGGGAGCCUCUGGUGGAGGUGGGUGAGGUGGUGCCUGCCCCCACCAGGCAGAUGGUGGCAAAUGCAAAGGCUCUGGGGUGGGAUGAGCCCAGGAUGGGACAGGCCAGUGUGGCUGUGGAGGUGGGGCAGCAGGGGCCAUGCACCAGGCAGAGAUUUUAUUCUCACUGCCUCGUGGAUGCCAUUGAGGGGCUUUGAGCAGUGGCGGGGCAGAGUCUGCAUCUUUUGGCUGUGUGUGGGGAAUGGAGCUGGCAUCACUGGAAUCCAGGCCCUGCAUGAUUCCACUCCACAGAACUCGGAGGCAGAAGGGGAGAUGGGGCAGGACAGAGCCUAGUUCCAGAGCCAGGCAGGCCUGCUGCUGGUUUGGUUGGAAAUGCAUGGUGGGUGACUGGAGCUACUAUUUACUGAGGUGCAGGUGACCUGAGGCAUUCAGGGGCCCUGUAGAGCAGACAUCUUCAAACUCUCCCUCAGAGUGGGAGAAGACCCUGCCCCGGGGCCACAUCCGCUCCUCAAAAGGCUCCUCCUAAGGAAAGGUCCCUCCUCUUGCAGUCAUGGCCCUGGGGUGUGGGAACUGUGGGGUCCCAGCAGAUGUAAGGGUGUUGGGGAGUGGCUCCCCCGUGGGCCACAGGUCUGCAGCAGCUGCGGGAGCCUCUACACCAGUGGGGUUCAUGGUGAUCGUUGAUGACAAGUUGAUCUUUGAUGAAUUCCGGCUCAGAACUCAAGAGGAUGUGGCACUGGGGGACUCUGCUGUGACCAAGCCCCUUCUGCUCCCGUCUCCUUGUUUCUGGAACCAGCUUCUCUGUGCUCACAUUUCUAGAAAGAGGAAUAGGGACAGAGGCGAGCAUUUGUCCAUGCUAUGUGAACUGAUUAGGGGAAAAAAGCUCUUUCUCUUCUAUUAAACGCAGCUUUUAUAUUAGAUGAUGAUUUCUCAAAGCAGAGACUAUUUCUGUUUUGAUCAGUGGUGUUCCAAUUGUAGUCACACCAUGAAAAGGAGAUAUGGUUCAAUGGUGGACCGCAUAUACGAUGCUGGUCCUGUAAGAUGAUAGUACCGCAGUUUUUACGUUACCUUUUCUAUGUUUAGAUAAGCAAAUACUUACUAUUGUGUUACAGGUACCUACAGUAUUCUGUUAGUUAAGUGCUGUACACGUUUGUAGCCUAGGAGUCGUAGGCUGGGCCGUAUAGCCUAGGUGUGUAGUAGGCUAUACCAUCUAGGGUUGUGUAUGUACACUCUAUCAUGUUUGCACAACUACAAAAUCCCAUAGCAAUGCAUUUCUCAGAAUCCUGUCAUGAAGCAACACACGAGUGUACUGCGGUGAUGAUUCGGGAGACGUUAGCACAGCCUUAUGGUUGUAGGAAAUCAAGACGAAUUCAAUUUAUAUGCAUGUUUGUGUUGCAAAAAGUUACAGUAGGGUGAAUCAAUAGAGUAAUUUCAAGCAUGAAUAUAUAACGUUGGGUUUACAUUUUGUAGUAACAGAAAUAGGAGUUCCUAGAGGAAGAAGUGUAUACUUUCUGGCCUUAAGAAGAGCUUGUUCAUGUGCGUUGUAAAUAGAUGGCCAUGGCUGUCACGUCAUCGUGCCUAGAUUCUAAUAGAUGUAUUUACAAGAGUGACAUGGCAGUUUUAUUUUAACUCAGUAUUUACGGUAUGCUGGAAAUGAUGUCCCUUGCAGCUGUUUAAAACAGGGAUGAACAGUUUAUACUGUCAGCUGAGAUGCAGGGAGUAGGGUUUUAGGAAAUAUUUUCAUGGGGAUACUGGCAAAACUCAAAGAGCUUGGCUGCUCCUGGUUCCAGGCGUCAGGUGGAGCUGCCGUCCGGGGCCUGGCAGGGCGAGGGGCCGCCAGGAUGCCGGCUUGGGAGUUGGGGGUGGCAGGUAAGUGCUGCAUGUAGAGGGACGGAGGUCUAGGUAGCCAGCUUGGGGUACCCCCUGUGGAGGCUCUGGAGGGGAGGUGCAGACAGCAAAGGGACUUAGGAGGGAGCACGCAGUGAGAGGGACCCUCCAGGGCAGAAGGGAUUUCCAGAGGAGGCAGUAAGGAUGGCUUCGGGUGGAGAGGACCUGGGAUUGGGCCGGGGACCCUGCUGAAGCCACUCGUCCUACAUGAAUCCUACUCAGAGCAGGAGAAGCCAAGAUCAGCGAUCCUCCCGUCUUGGCCCCCCAAAGUGCUGGGAUUACAGGUGUCAGCCUGUCCUGGAGUCCUCCAAGCCCGUGGGGUCCGAUGAGCACAGACGGCUCAGCUCUUCCUUGCUUCCAUACCCUUACAUAAAACUGGAGCUCGGCGUUCUCAGAGAGGAUGCUUUUAUUUGCCUGAGAUGCACCAUCUGUUACUGGCUCCGUUUGACCGAUCUCCUUGUUCAUCGUGGUCCAGGUCUCCACCUGACCCCUCUGAGUGCUGACCUACCGCAAGCGUCAUCAGUAAACCUUGACUAAGUGAUGCGGCUCACGGCAAACUCAUUAGUCUUGCUUCGUCACCUAGGCUGGAGGGCAGUGGUGCGAUCUCCAUCUUGGCUCACUGCAACCUCGGCUCACUGCAACCUCUACCUCCUGGGUUCAAGCAGUCUUCCCACCUCAGCCUCCCGCGUAGCUAUGACUGCAGGCACGUGCCACCAUGCCUGGCUAAUUUUUGUGUUUUCCGUAGAGAUGGGGUUUCUCCGUGUUAGUCAAGGUGGUCUCAAAAUUCCUGGGCUUCAGCAGUCCUCCCACCUUGGCCCCCCAAAGUGCUGGGAUGACAGGUAUAAGCCACCGCGCCCAGCAGAGUUUCCAUUUUUAAGAUGGUAGAGGGCACACCUUUCUCUCCCUCUUAAAGAACCAGAUGUGAAAAUGAGAAAUAUAGAUGUCAUCUUUGAUGAAACUAAGAGGUUCAGAAAGUGAGAACGGAGAAGAAAUCAUAAACAGUACAAGAAAACGGUAGGGCUGAAGGGCAUGGUUGAAGGCCCAGUCAGUGCACAGCAUUAAAGCAGGUCACAGAAUUUCAGGUCACGGGAGCUAGAACAAAAAUUGCGAAAGAUUCUGGAGGUAGAGAGCUGCACAGAGGAGAUUUGCUGGCAGGAAAGAUACCAGAUGCAUCAGCCACGACGCUGGAAGCUGACGGACCAUGGAGUCCUUCCUUGGACAUUGGGCGUUCGGAGUGAAAGUGACCAGUGGCCGUGUACCCAGGCAGCCUAACAGCUGGAUCCAGUGGUUCCGCGUGCCCAGGAGUGUGCGUCUUGUGCUGUCUUUGGCCCUCACCGUCCCCCGACCUCCUGCACCACCGCCUCUGCCCCGCACAAUGGUAGCAAACAAAAUGUGUGCACAGCAUGUUGAAUGUUUCCGACACAAAGAGAUGAUACAUGUUUGAGAUGAUGGAUACGCUUAUUCCCCUGAUCUGAUCACUAUCCAUUAGAAGCAUCAGUUUGUACCCCAUAAAUAGGUACAAUUGAUUAUGUGUCAAAAGUAUAAAAAAUAAGGCCUAAGCAAAUAUAACAAAUCAAUUAAAGUUAUUGAUAAUGAA